rnacentral:lncRNA from 1 species
UCUUUCUUUUUUUUUCUACUGCAUUCCGGAUCUCCUCAAUUCGACACACACGAGAUGAAUUUCUAGAGUAUGAAUUGUGAGAGAAAAACUAUUGAAGUACUCAUUCAAUUCUCUUCAGAGUUUCAAGAUUUCUUAGAACUUGAGGUAAAAUUCUCUCUCAAUCUUUGUGCAAAUUGUCUUAACGUCAAAUUGUUUCCUACUUGUUACUGUCUUCUUUCUUCUCUAUUGUUCUUUAUAUAUUUAGUUGUUUGAGUUUUAUUUGUCAUGAAUGAACUCAACUUACUUGACAACUUCUACUUUUGCUGACUCAAAUCAGCUGAAGUAUUUUGUUAUUUUUUAUUAUUGUUGUUGCACAUCACCCACAAAAAUUCCAAAUUGGGAAAUCACAAUCUAAGACGCAAGCUUCAACAAUGGUGGAUUUCGAAGCUUUUCAUAUUAUUAUUUUUUGAUUCGGUAUACAAUCAUAGUUAAUCAAAUUUUUAGGUUCCAAUUUCUUCUUAUGUUCCAACAUUAGAGUCUCAAAUGCCUACCGAUAGACACGAAGCUUCUCUAUUUAUUAGAUGAAUGAGGACAAGAAGAUCUUAAAAGAGGUAAAGGAAAAGACCAACUUCAUUUUACUGCUUUAGGAUCUAACUUGAUUCUACAAGUUUUAUUGGAAUUGCUAUAAAAAUAAACUCAAUUGUUUUUUUAUUAACUUAACACAAUUUGAGAAGAAAAAAGAAAUUUUGAAUGUCUGGACAAUCGUCAAUAUCUCUGAUGGUGCCUACUCCGCAAAGCGCAAAGUUGAAGGGAGCUCAACGAGUUACUUUCUAAGGUACACUAAUUUAACUAAGCAUAAAUUUGAGAGUGUUUUAUAUUAGAUGAACUUAGAGGUCGUUUGGUAUAAGGGUUAAUAUUUCGAGGUGAAAUGUAAGACCGUUUUAUUUUGCAUAUGUUAGGGGUAUUAGUUAGUUGUGAGAUUAUUUAUCCCAUCAUUUGUACUAAAAUUAUGGAAUAAGUUAUCAUAUGUAAAGGGUGGGAUAACCAAUCCCAUGGAACGACCCCUUAGUGUAGUAAUUCAAAGGAGGUGAUUAAAUUUUCCAACAUUUGACAUUACUAAAACACAAUUUAUGUUUAAAGAAUAUUCGGAAUAAUUUGCUUGUUCUAACUCUCUUUUACUUUUUUUAUGAUUGUGUAGCAAAGCUGGAUGAUUAUUAGAGCUUCAAUCGCAUAUGUGUGUAAAGAGCCCACCAUAUGAAAUUGAUAGAAAUUAUGGGACAACAUUUAUAUGUGGCAUGAUCUCAAACUACUUAAUGGUGAGUCUUGAUAGUAUAGUAUUUCAAAAAGUUACAAUCAGAUUAUUAAUUAGUACUACAUAUUAUACACAUCUAGGUUGUAUAAGUGUGACAACAGAUUGAUAUAUUUUAAGAUCGACUAGGGAUGGAAAGUAUAAGUACUUGAAUAACUAUAAGUGAACCCUUCUAGAUGCUACAAUGCAGACUUUGUUGCUCUUUUCAGCUAUACGCAUUAAGGGAGUCCACAACUUCAAGAUUUCCAUUCAAAAUUUAAUCUAAUCUCUAUACUAACACGCAAACACAUCUAAUUUUAGGCGAAGAAUUAAACACCAAAAAUGCUAGACUAAAGUCGUGUAAUAGGAGAAAUUGUUAAGUUGUUUUAAGUGUUUUAUUUCAAAGGCAUAAAGAGAGAGGUGAAUGAAAGGAUAAUUUUCAAUUUAGUGUUUUAGGAUAUAUUUCUUGCAUCUAGAGAUUUUAUUGAAAUUUCUAGAAAACUUAACUUUGUUGCUCUGCGGUAGUCAUCACAGAAAUUGAGAAGGAAAAGAAAUUUGAUGAUUUUAUAAUUAAUUUAAUGACUUGUGAGAUAGUCUCUGCUACUUGACAUUGAUUGGAUUACAUUAAGCAUUGAUAUUGUAGUGGCACUUCAAAAAAUAUGCAUUAGAAUUUGAAGUUCGUUGUAAUCUCUCUUUGUUAUUGUUGGUGUUUUUCCUUGGUGGACAGGUCUAUUUUCUCUAAAUUCUUGCAAAGUUUUGUACAAAUAAUUAUUAAUUUAUGUGUACUUUCUUCAUAUUUUGGUAUUUUUAAGAUUGAAUUUCAAUCAGUGUGAUGUAAAUAUUAUUAGAUGGGUCCAAGUUUGAUUUCAUUUUUACUAAUUGCAGGCGAUGGACUAAGAGUACCUAACAUUUAUGAGUAUAAUAAUUUCAAGAUAUAAUUUGUUUUCUCCUUCAACCUGUGAUUUUCAUUUCUUCAUCCUAUAUGCUUUUAUGUUUGAUGCAUUCUUUGUCGGUAUAUUUUGCCUAGCCAACAUGAAAGUUUACUCACAUAAUGGAAUCUAUGUAUUAUAUAAUAACUAAAUCAUGAGUCAGAAAAAUUUUCUUUCAAUCUAUUUCUAUUUGUCACCGUCUCGUGAGUUCGUUCUCCCUCAUCUCUCUCUCUCUUGUGCUCUUUUUCGCUCCCAGUUUUUUCUCUCUUUAAAUUUUUUGUCUAUAUAAUUGUUCUCGUACUCUCUGUUUCAGCUAACCCAUGCUAUUAAAAUUGGAAUUUUGAACAUUAUAUAGAUGCUUUAAAGGCAAUCCUUAUAAUAUGACAAAUAAAAUUUGAAACUUAUUUCUUCUCCAUGAAAUAUGUUAUCACGUUGAAGUUGAAAUUUGUUCUUUGUUUCUUCUUGAGUGUGCUUAUAAUUAUGUUGCCUUCUUUAUAGUUUUGUCUUUUUAAUUAUAUUAAUGAGAAACUCGGUCAAGAAUAUGCUUCUGCAAUCUAAUAUUGGGGAUACAUAUUCAAGAAUUAUGAUGUUGAGGAGAGGUGCAAAAUAAUUAGGAAAAUUACACAAAGGAAGACACUUAAAUGUCUCUGCUUCACUAAGAGUUGUGCAUUUUACCUCACCUUACAAAGGUUGGUUUUCUAAUUUGGACAUGGCGUGCAUAACUAAUGUUCUUUGCAGGUAACUAGGAACUAUGGUGCUUUAAGGAGGUGACUGUAGCUGGAACUUCUGAUACCAUUUGUUUCAUUCAAGGAUGCUGAUUAUGAUGACUCAAUUUGUGUAGUGAGUUGUAUAUACACUAAGUAAGUUACAGAGUGUUUUUGGUUUCAAUUUCAGGGGUUUUAUAUUUGUCAUUGUUGAUAUGCGAAGAGUAGGUCUCGGUUCUUUGUUGUUGGUUCUUUCCAAAGUACUACAUUUUUGUAGAUUGACUUUGGUAAAUGAAAAAGAUAGUGUUAUCAUUCCUUAUGAAGGGAUUUUUUCUUGUCAAGUAUUGUAAGUUCAUAAUCUGAUUGUAAUAUAUUAUUUUUUACCUGCC